GACAGAGGUGCCGAGCGUUAGGCGGAAUCACUGGGCUUAAAGCGUGUGUAGGCGGAUGGGUAAGUACCUUGUGAAAUCCCACGGCUCAACCGUGGAACUGCUCGGUAUACUGCUCGUCUUGAGCCAACUAGGGGCGACCGGAACAAACGGUGGAGCGGUGAAAUGCGUAGAUAUCGUUUGGAACGCCAAAGGUGAAGACAGGCAACUGGGAGUGCGCCGACGCUGAGACGCGAAAGCCAGGGAGCGAAACGGGA
rnacentral:rRNA from 1 species